GGAAAACAUUCUUUUAUACAAGGAUUUUUACCUAGCUAUUACAAUAGUUUAAGGUAAUGUACAAUAUAUAUUUGACACAGAGAGUGUUAUUAGAUGUUCGCACUGCAUAAAAUGAAUCCUCUAGCCUUUGAUGUCUUAAAAAGAAGUUUUACAACUAUUAGUGAAGCUAAGGCACUACAUAUUUUCCUUCCACAAUAUGGAUUUGUGUCAUUUAAACUGAAGAAGUUGAUCUUGUGUGAUGACAGGUAUGUCUGAAGAGGCGUCUUUCAGAGUCAUCUAUCCUCUUGGCAUGCCAAUGCAAGAGGAAAGCAUUCCUCAAACCAAAGAAAUCUUCCAACCAAAACAUAGGUAACAUUUAGCCUGAUUUCUUACAAAAGCUUGUAGACAGGUGUUUUUUUCUGUACUUCACCACCAUGAGUUGGGAAUCUAUGCCUGUGGGCCAAAUCUUGUCUGUGCCUGCUGUUUUUGUAAAUAAAGUCUUAUUGGAACACAGACAUGACUACUUGCUUGUUUUGUCUGUGGCUGCCUUUGUGCUACAAUGGCAGAGUCAAGUAGUUGUUAACAGGGACCUUAUGACUUAAAAUAUCUACUUUCUGGCUCUUUACAGAAAAUGUUUGCCGAUCCCUGACUCGUGGUGAAAAUUUUAUUUUGGGGGCAGAGCCAUGUUACAGAAGCCCGACCUCCAGGAAGGGAUCUGGUGAGAGACAUAGCAUGUCAUAGACAAGUCAAAGGGGGAGCAUCUUCCCGGUGGCCUGGUGUCCAGGCACAUGCUAGGCACUCAGUGGGUGCUUAAUCCAUUUGUUCGGUGAAUCCUGGGGAUUUGCUUCGCCAAUUGGGUAGAAAGAGCAGACUCUUUUGAAAGAAGAUUAACCUGCCCAGCUGGUCUCGAACUCCUGACCUCAAGUAAUCCUCCCGCCUCAGACUCCCAAAGUGUGCUGGGAUUAUAGGCAUGAGCCAC
rnacentral:lncRNA from 10 species